rnacentral:rRNA from 1 species
CAACGAUGAAGAGUUUGAUCCUGGCUCAGGAUGAACGCUAGCGGCAGGCCUAACACAUGCAAGUCGAGGGGCAGCGGGGAUAAGCUUGCU